UUCUGGCUCAGGAUGAACGCUAGCUACAGGCUAACACAUGCAAGUCGAGGGGUAGCAGGGUAGCAAUACCGCUGACGACCGGCGCACGGGUGAGUAACACGUAUCCAACCUUCCCAUAACUCAGGGAUAGCCUUUCGAAAGAAAGAUUAAUACCUGAUAGUACUUUUUCAAGGCAUCUUGAGAAAGUUAAAGAUUUAUUGGUUAUGGAUGGGGAUGCGUUCCAUUAGAUAGUUGGUGAGGUAACGGCUCACCAAGUCUUCGAUGGAUAGGGGUUCUGAGAGGAAGGUCCCCCACAUUGGUACUGAGACACGGACCAAACUCCUACGGGAGGCAGCAGUGAGGAAUAUUGGUCAAUGGGCGAGAGCCUGAACCAGCCAAGUAGCGUGAAAGGAUGAAGGUCCUAUGGAUUGUAAACUUCUUUUAUAGUAGAAUAAAGUGAUCCACGUGUGGAUUUUUGUAUGUAUACUAUGAAUAAGGAUCGGCUAACUCCGUGCCAGCCGCCGC
rnacentral:rRNA from 1 species